CGCAAGCCUGAUGCAGCCAUGCCGNGUGUAUGAAGAAGGCCUUCGGGUUGUAAAGUACUUUCAGCAGUGAGGAAGGUGGAUAUGUUAAUAGCAUAUUCAUUUGACGUUUAGCUGCAGAAGAAGCACCGGCUAACUCCGUGCCAGCAGCCGCGGUAAUACGGAGGGUGCGAGCGUUAAUCGGAAUUACUGGGCGUAAAAGCGCAUGCAGGUGGUUUGUUAAGUCAGAUGUGAAAGCCCGGGGCUCAACCUCGGAAUUGCAUUUGAAACUGGCAAACUAGAGUACUGUAGAGGGGGUAGAAUUUCAGGUGUAGCGGUGAAAUGCGUAGAGAUCUGAAGGAAUACCGGUGGCGAAGGCGGCCCCCUGGACAGAUACUGACACUCAGAUGCGAAAGCGUGGGGAGCAAACAGGAUUAGAUACCCUGGUAG
rnacentral:rRNA from 1 species